GAUGAACGCUGGCGGCGUGCCUAAUACAUGCAAGUCGAACGAGGUGCUUUUGUAGCAAUACGAGAGUAUCCUAGUGGCGAACGGGUGAGUAACGCGUUGGUGACCUACCCCAAAGUGUGGGAUAACAGUCCGAAAGGACUGCUAAUACCGCAUGUGGUCUUCAGGCUUAGAAACUGAUGACUAAAGGAGCAAUUCGCUUUGGGAGGGACCUGCGUCCCAUCAGCUAGUUGGUGAGGUAACGGCUCACCAAGGCGACGACGGGUAGGGGACCUGAGAGGGUGGCCCCCCACAAUGGAACUGAAACACGGUCCAUACACCUACGGGUGGCAGCAGUAGGGAAUAUUGCACAAUGGGCGAAAGCCUGAUGCAGCAACGCCGCGUGUGCGAUGAAGGCCUUCGGGUCGUAAAGCACUUUUCUGGGAGAUGAGAAAGGACAGUAUCCCAGGAAUAAGUCUCGGCUAACUACGUGCCAGCAGCCGCGGUAAAACGUAGGAGGCGAGCCGUUAUCCGGAUUCACUGGGCGUAAAGCGCGUGCAGGUGGUUCGGUAAGUUANGCGU
rnacentral:rRNA from 1 species